UCAACCUGGUUGAUCCUGCCAGUAGCAUAUGCUUGUCUCAAAGAUUAAGCCAUGCAUGUCUAAGUAUAAAAGUAUUCUAUACUUGAAACUGCGUACGGCUCAUUAAAUCAGUUAUAGUUUAUUUGAUGGUGCAAAACUACAUGGACAACUGUAGUAAUUCUAGAGCUAAUACAUGCGUGAAGGCCUAACUCGUG
rnacentral:rRNA from 1 species